rnacentral:lncRNA from 10 species
UGAGUUUCCCAGAGGGCGUGGACAAUGGCUCCCUGCAUCUUUCCUUACAGGAAAGCCAAGAAGUUCUCAAAGACUCCUGGGGCUUGAAAGAAGGACCCAGGAGCCAACUUGAAGGGGCACCGCCAGCCAGAUACGGAACAAUGCCAGCCUCAAUAAGAAUAAUUUGGCCAGGCCUGGUGGUUCAUACCUGUAAUUCCAGCACUUCAGGAGGCUGAGGCGAGAGGAUUGCUUGAGCCCAGGAGUUCAAGACCAGCCUGGGCAACAUAAGAACCCUGUCUCUACAAAAAAUUUAAAAAUUAGCAAAAGCGUGGUGGUGUACACAUGUAGUGCCAGCUACUUGGGAGGUUAAGGUGGGAGGAUGGCUUGAGCCCAGGAGGUUGAGGCUGCAGUGAGCUGUGAUUGCAUCAUCACACUCCAGACUAGGCAACCGAGCAAGAGACCCUAUCUCAAAAUAAUAAUAAUAAUAGUAAUAAUAAUUUGUCCUGCCUCUUUAGAAGGAGCUGUAGUUCAAUCCCAGUUGAUGAGAAAAAAACUCUUCUUUACAGAAGAGUGCAAGCUUCUUGCAUUUCUGCAGAAGAAAAGACAGAAAUAGAAAAUCAUCUUGUUGUAACCCUUCGUAAAAUAAUUGAUCAAUAAUUGAUCGUAUAAUAAUUGACAGGAUUAUCCAGGGAGUCAGAACCCUGGGAUGAAAGGCUGGGGGAGGACAGAACAGUCACAUGCCAAAGAGUCCACCUGAAGCCUCUUGCUGGUUGCCAAAGGGGAGAGGUGUUUUACAGUAGUAAAAAAUGGUGCAGUCUUGCUGUCACCACCUCAGACAAGUGAUCAAAUUUAGCAUCAUCAAUAGUGGAACAAUCUGACAUGUGUCUCUGGAUGGGAUAUAAUAAUAAUAAUACUCAGCAUGAGCUGGGCAGUAUCUUUACUAAAGAUUGUUAACCUGAAUCUGCCUUUUUUUUUUUUUUCUGAGACAGAGUCUCACUCUGUCACCCAGGCUGAAGUGCAGUGGGGUAAUCUUGGCUUACUGCAACCUCCUUGCCUCCCUGGCUCAAGCAAUCCUCCCACCUCAGCCUCCCAAGUAGCUGGGAGCACAGGCAUGCAGAGCCACACCUGGCUUUUUUUUUGGGGGGGUGGUGGGUAUUUUUAAUAGAGACAGGGUCUCGCCAUGUUGCCCGGGCUGGUCUCAAACUGUUGACCUCAUGAUCCUACCACCUUGACCUCCCAAAGUUCUGGGAUUGCCGACGUGAGCCACAACGCCCAGCCUGAAUCUGGCUUUGGACCUAAACUCCAGUUUAGAGUCAAUACAGGGGGUAGAAGAACAAGUUAAAUAACACCAUGAAGAAACAAUCAGAUAUAUCCAGGGACAGCCUAUAAGAUAACACCUGCUGCCAGGCACGGCGGCUCACGCCUGUAAUCCUAGCACUUUGGGAGGCCGAGGUGGGCGGAUUGCCUGAGCUCAGGAGUUCGAGACCAGCCUGGGCAACACAGUGAAACCCCGUCCCUACUAAAAUACAAAAAAUUAGCCGGGCAUGGCAGUGUGCACCUGUAGUCCCAGCUACUCAGGAGACUGAGGCAGGAGAGUUGCUUGAACCCGAGAGGUGAGGUUGCAGUGAGCCGAGAUCGCGCCACUGCACUCCAGCCUCGGUGACAGAGCGAGACUCCGUCUCCAAAAAAAAAAGAUAACACCUGCAUUCUCCAAAGAAUCAAUGUCACAAAAAAAGGUGUAUGUGUGUAGAUACAUGGGGA